AACGCACGAGACCUGCGGACCUGCGGAGGGAUCAUUACACAAAUAUGAAGGCGGGCUGGAACCUCUCGGGGUUACAGCCUUGCUGAAUUAUUCACCCUUGUCUUUUGCGUACUUCUUGUUUCCUUGGUGGGUUCGCCCACCACUAGGACAAACAUAAACCUUUUGUAAUUGCAAUCAGCGUCAGUAACAAAUUAAUAAUUACAACUUUCAGCAAUGGAUCUCUAGAUCGGAAGAGCACAC
rnacentral:misc_RNA from 1 species